rnacentral:sRNA from 1 species
UCCGUAGGUGAACCUGCGGAAGGAUCAUUACAGUAUUCUUUUUGCCAGCGCUUAAUUGCGCGGCGAAAAAACCUUACACACAGUGUUUUUUGUUAUUACAAGAACUUUUGCUUUGGUCUGGACUAGAAAUAGUUUGGGCCAGAGGUUUACUGAACUAAACUUCAAUAUUUAUAUUGAAUUGUUAUUUAUUUAAUUGUCAAUUUGUUGAUUAAAUUCAAAAAAUCUUCAAAACUUUCAACAACGGAUCUCUUGGUUCUCGCAUCGAUGAAGAACGCAGCGAAAUGCGAUAAGUAAUAUGAAUUGCAGAUUUUCGUGAAUCAUCGAAUCUUUGAACGCACAUUGCGCCCUCUGGUAUUCCAGAGGGCAUGCCUGUUUGAGCGUCAUUUCUCUCUCAAACCUUCGGGUUUGGUAUUGAGUGAUACUCUUAGUUGAACUAGGCGUUUGCUUGAAAUGUAUUGGCAUGAGUGGUACUGGAUAGUGCUAUAUGACUUUCAAUGUAUUAGGUUUAUCCAACUCGUUGAAUAGUUUAAUGGUAUAUUUCUCGGUAUUCUAGGCUCGGCCUUACAAUAUAACAAACAAGUUUGACCUCAAAUCAGGUAGGAUUACCCGCUGAACUUAAGCAUAUCAAUAAGCGGAGGAAAAGAAACCAACAGGGAUUGCCUUAGUAACGGCGAGUGAAGCGGCAAAAGCUCAAAUUUGAAAUCUGGCACCUUCGGUGUCCGAGUUGUAAUUUGAAGAAGGUAACUUUGGAGUUGGCUCUUGUCUAUGUUCCUUGGAACAGGACGUCACAGAGGGUGAGAAUCCCGUGCGAUGAGAUGCCCAAUUCUAUGUAAAGUGCUUUCGAAGAGUCGAGUUGUUUGGGAAUGCAGCUCUAAGUGGGUGGUAAAUUCCAUCUAAAGCUAAAUAUUGGCGAGAGACCGAUAGCGAACAAGUACAGUGAUGGAAAGAUGAAAAGAACUUUGAAAAGAGAGUGAAAAAGUACGUGAAAUUGUUGAAAGGGAAGGGCUUGAGAUCAGACUUGGUAUUUUGCGAUCCUUUCCUUCUUGGUUGGGUUCCUCGCAGCUUACUGGGCCAGCAUCGGUUUGGAUGGUAGGAUAAUGACUAAGGAAUGUGGCUCUACUUCGGUGGAGUGUUAUAGCCUUGGUUGAUACUGCCUGUCUAGACCGAGGACUGCGUCUUUGACUAGGAUGUUGGCAUAAUGAUCUUAAGCCAC